UAGGGAAUUUUUCACAAUGAGCGAAAGCUUGAUGGAGCAAUGCCGCGUGAACGAUGAAGGUCUUUAAGAUUGUAAAGUUCUUUUAUUUGGGAAGAAUGACUUUAGCAGGUAAUGGCUAGAGUUUGACUGUACCAUUUUGAAUAAGUGACGACUAACUAUGUGCCAGCAGUCGCGGUAAUACAUAGGUCGCAAGCGUUAUCCGGAUUUAUUGGGCGUAAAGCAAGCGCAGGCGGAUUGAAAAGUCUGGUGUUAAAGGCAGCUGCUUAACAGUUGUAUGCAUUGGAGACUAUUAAUCUAGAGUGUGGUAGGGGGUUUUGGAAUUUCAUGUGGAGCGGUGAAAUGCGUAGAUAUAUGAAGGAACACCAGUGGCGAAGGCGAAAACUUAGGCCAUUACUGACGCUUAGGCUUGAAAGUGUGGGGAGCAAAUAGGAUUAGAUACCCUAGUAGUCCACACCGUAAACGAUAGAUACUAGCUGUCGGGGCGAUCCCCUCGGUAGUGAAGUUAACACAUUAAGUAUCUCGCCUGGGUAGUACAUUCGCAAGAAUG
rnacentral:rRNA from 1 species